rnacentral:rRNA from 1 species
GGCUCAGAACGAACGCUGGCGGCAGGCUUAACACAUGCAAGUCGAGCGCCCCGCAAGGGGAGCGGCAGACGGGUGAGUAACGCGUGGGAAUCUACCCUUUUCUACGGAAUAACGCAGGGAAACUUGUGCUAAUACCGUAUAAGCCCUUCGGGGGAAAGAUUUAUCGGGAAAGGAUGAGCCCGCGUUGGAUUAGCUAGUUGGUGGGGUAAAGGCCUACCAAGGCGACGAUCCAUAGCUGGUCUGAGAGGAUGAUCAGCCACAUUGGGACUGAGACACGGCCCAAACUCCUACGGGAGGCAGCAGUGGGGAAUAUUGGACAAUGGGCGCAAGCCUGAUCCAGCCAUGCCGCGUGAGUGAUGAAGGCCCUAGGGUUGUAAAGCUCUUUCACCGGUGAAGAUAAUGACG